CUCUGUCACUCAGGCUGGAGUGCAGUGGCAUGAUCUCAGCCCGCUGCAACCUUCGCCUUCCAGGUUCAAGCAGUUCUCCUGCCUCAGCUCUUGGACAAAACUUCAGCACUCCUGCUAGGGUGUGUCUGCCCUACUAAGACACUGUGCGCAGGUGGAGUUGAGGCUCUUAUGUAUGGAUCCUGUCCACUGUUGAGAUUGUGAAUUGCAUGUGUAGACUCAACUCACAGGAGGUGUUGACUCACAAACCUCCAGCUGGGACAUGUGCAGGAUUAGAAAUUUUAUUUCUGGAUCUUUCUUCAGAAGGCGUUGUAACAUCUCACUAAGCCCAGCACUCAGGCGAUGUGGCUUUCCUGCUAUGGCACUGCACACAAGAAGAAUGUUGACAUAUUCCUGGCCCAGAAUUCAGGUUGUAUUGUGCCAUAUACCUGGGACCAAAUUACAAGCACAAUGAUGAAUCUUUUACCUGGAGUCAAGACAUGGGCAGGAUGAUGGAACUUAUCACUGGACCUUUCCACAGUGUUAUUGUGACAUAUGCCUUUGCCCAACAUGUGGUGAUUUGACUCCCCAGACUGGGUCCAGUUCACAAAUAAAAUUGUGCCGUAUACUUGGC
rnacentral:lncRNA from 10 species